AUUGAACGCUGGCGGCAUGCCUAACACAUGCAAGUCGAGCGGAGCGGCGGACGGGUGAGUAAUGCCUCGGAACCUGCCUAGUAGCGGGGGAUAACUUCCGGAAACGGGCGCUAAUACCGCAUACUAUCAGAUGAGCCUAUGUCGGAUUAGCUAGUUGGUGGGGUAACGGCCUACCAAGGCGACGAUCCGUAGCUGGUCUGAGAGGAUGAUCAGUCACAAUGGAACUGAGACACGGGCCAGACUCCUACGGGAGGCAGCAGUGGGGAAUAUUGGACAAUGGGGGAAAGCCUGAUCCAGCCAUGCCGCGUGUGUGAAGAAGGUCUUCGGAUUGUAAAGCACUUUAGGGUGGGAGGCGGUACCAACAGAAUAAGCACCGGCUAACUUCGUGCCAGCAGCCGCGGUAAUAC
rnacentral:rRNA from 1 species